rnacentral:rRNA from 1 species
AACGAACGCUGGCGGCAUGCCUAACACAUGCAAGUCGAACGAGACCUUCGGGUAUAGUGGCGCACGGGUGCGUAACGCGUGGGAACCUGCCCUUAGGUUCGGAAUAACUCCCCGCAAGGGGUGCUAAUACCGGAUAAUGUCUUCGGACCAAAGAUUUAUCGCCUUUGGAUGGGCCCGCGUUGGAUUAGCUAGUUGGUAGGGUAAAAGCCUACCAAGGCGACGAUCCAUAGCUGGUCUGAGAGGAUGAUCAGCCACACUGGGACUGAGACACGGCCCAGACUCCUACGGGAGGCAGCAGUGGGGAAUAUUGGACAAUGGGCGAAAGCCUGAUCCAGCAAUGCCGCGUGAGUGAUGAAGGCCUUAGGGUUGUAAAGCUCUUUUACCCGGGAUGAUAAUGACAGUACCGGGAGAAUAAGCUCCGGCUAACUCCGUG